rnacentral:lncRNA from 1 species
GUAGACACUGGGGUUGUAGCACAUGCCCUGGUGAGGAGACCCAGCUCUUUCAGGGUGGUAGGAGGUGCCUGAUAAAAGGUGACAUCUGGGGAGGGCAGCAAGCAGAGGCCACGAAGUGGGAGCACUCAGCAUUGACUUCAAGAGUCCUAAAAUGUGGGAGGAGUUCUGGGGGCCUGACUGCAAGCCUCAGUCUUGAGAAGGCAGAGGUGAAGGUCCUUGUUAGAUGGUGACAGUUCAGUGGUGCUGUGGCCUCCAUCAUGACUGACGGAGAGCAGCUCUCCUGGGUUUGUCACUAAGGAGCUACUUCCCCUAAACUGUGAGCAGGUCCUUAGCGAUGAGCAGCACUCAGUGCUCUUAGGCUAAAAUUCAGUGGCUUCCAAGCAAAAAUGACAUCCAGAAGACAGCUGGAAAGGUGAUCUAAGCUAAAGCUGAGGGUGUGGCAUGAAAUCCUCUGUUAACCAUAGAAAGUUGAACCUUUCUCUCUCUUUUCACUGGAGUGCAGUGGUGUGCCUUCAGCUCACUGCAACCUCCACCUCCUUUGGCUCAAGCAAUUCUCCUGCCUGUCUCCUGAGUAGCUGGGAUUACAGGCGUGAACCACCACACCUGGCCAAUUGUUGUAGUUUUAGUAGAGUUGGGGUUUCGCCAUGUUGGCCACGCUGGUCUUGACCUCAGGCGAUCUGCCCUCCUCGGCCUCCCAAGGUGCUAGGAUUACAGGUGUAAGCCACCGCGCCCAGCUGUUAGAACCUUUCUUUCCCUCAAUAAGACUUCUUGCUCCUCUGCAGGAGCCCAAGAUGGUGCUAGUCUGAAAAGCCCCACAGGUGUGGCUUCUAAUGAACUGAACCCUAUUAAGAGUCACAGAAUUAACAUGGGCGGAAGCUGCUGCCAGGCUGGACUGAAAGGGCCAGGCAAUACAAGAGGCCUUGAACCCUCAGGUUCCUACCAGCGGGAAGUAGGAAGAUAAAACUCUCCAGCUGCAAACACAGGCUGCCUUUUGUGAAAAAGAAGGAUAAUUCAGAGAUGGAGCCAGGAGCCUGGAGGACUGAGGCUGGCUUAGGGGACUGCCAGGUGAUGUGUGCCCAGCUGGAUUUCAGACUUGCUGUGGGCCAGGGACUCCUGGGAGCAUUUGCAGCAGGUGUCCUAGGUCUGUCCCCGCUGUUCAUUGCGGUGGGGGUGUGUGUGUGUGUGUGUGUGCAUGUGUGUGGUGGGGGCUGGGGACAGUCUUUACAUGGAGAGAGGCUCAACACAGGAGCUGUCAGGAGCCUCCUCCACAAGGCAGUGGAUUCAGGUGAGAUUCUGGGCUUUUUAAACUAGAAUGCUUAGUUUCAAAUCUAACAACACAUGUAUGGGACCUGUAUGCUGAAAACGGCACAACCCUGAUGAAACAAAGAUCUAGUAAGUGGAGAAAUGUAACUUGUUCAUGGAUUGGAAGACUCAAUAUAGAUGUCAAUUCUUGGGCCGGGCGCAGUGGCUCAUGCCUGUAAUCCCAGCACUUUGGGAGGCUGAGGUGGGCGGAUCACCUGAGGUGGGGAGUUUGAGACCACCCUGACCAACACGGAGAAACAUCAUCUCUACUAAAAUACAAAACUAGCCAGG